rnacentral:lncRNA from 1 species
AAGAAAAAUAUUUAUAUAUUUUUCUUUUUUGUUUUAUUAAUUUCAUUUCAUUACAAUCAUCUUAGAAUACAAAGACACAAGUACAAUGUUUGUGAAAAUAUAAAAAGAAAUAAUAACAAAUUAUUGGAUGCCAACACAAAUAACAAUUCAUUGAAAUUUAAUUUAAUUUUUAAGAGACCAUACAUAUGGCACUCUCUCUGCAAUACAAUCACAUACGCCUUUUUCGGAGAAAAAUGGCCACUUCUUACAAUAAGGUGAUUUAGGAGUUAAGCAUGUAACUUCUUGACAAUCAGAAUCUUCAGCACACAUACUUGCUGUGAUGAAAAAAAUAUAAAAUAAAAAAGUGUUAUUAAAAUGAGAUAAAAUAAUAUGUAGAAAGUAAAUAAGGAAAUUUGAGAAAGGCAAAAAAUGACAUACUAUCAAAGAUAAAUGCAUCAACAAAUAGAGAAAGACACAUGAUCAUAACAUAAACAAACUUAAUAAUUCCAACUAUAUUGUGACCCUUUUGCAUGUAAGAAAUAAAACAUAAUUUCAUCAUUUUAUAAUUUAAUAAGAUCGUUCUCACUUUAGAUACAUUAAAUAGUUUUAGCACUUAUAUAGAUUUGUAAAAAAA